GACGAACGCUGGCGGCGUGCCUAAUACAUGCAAGUCGAACGCUUUUUCUUUCACCGGAGCUUGCUCCACCGAAAGAAAAGGAGUGGCGAACGGGUGAGUAACACGUGGGUAACCUACCCUCCAGCGGGGGAUAACACUUGGAAACAGGUGCUAAUACCGCAUAAUAGAGAAAACCGCCUGGUUUUCUUUUGAAAGGCGCAAUUGCGUCACUGGAGGAUGGACCCGCGGUGCAUUAGCUAGUUGGUGAGGUAACGGCUCACCAAGGCAACGAUGCAUAGCCGACCUGAGAGGGUGAUCGGCCACAUUGGGACUGAGACACGGCCCAAACUCCUACGGGAGGCAGCAGUAGGGAAUCUUCGGCAAUGGACGCAAGUCUGACCGAGCAACGCCGCGUGAGUGAAGAAGGUUUUCGGAUCGUAAAACUCUGUUGUAAGAGAAGAACGUUGAUGAGAGUGGAAAGUUCAUCAAGUGACGGUAUCUUACCAGAAAGCCACGGCUAACUACGUGCCAGCAGCCGCAGUA
rnacentral:rRNA from 1 species